GAAUGAUCGGACGGUGACAUCUGUCACUGCAGCGAGUGCCAGCAUUGUGUGGGCUGAUCUGGCUGGCCUGCGCCACUUCGCAUACGUGGCUCUGGUGAAGAGAAUGGCCCUUCCUUACAGAUCAGUUCUUUGAUUGUGGGAACACCAGCAACCCUGCUUUGCCAGACCUCCAAACAAGCUCCCAAGGUCCAUCUGUAGGGGGACACAGGGUAGUCAAGCUUCCAAGACUCCAGGCACGUCAAAACGAGGCACUGCAUGUGGCAGUUUGCCUUUUGUU
rnacentral:snRNA from 1 species